rnacentral:rRNA from 1 species
GAUGAACGCUGGCGGCGUGCCUAAUACAUGCAAGUCGAGCGAACAGAUGAGGAGCUUGCUCCUCUGACGUUAGCGGCGGACGGGUGAGUAACACGUGGAUCACCUACCUAUAAGACUGGGAUAACUUCGGGAAACCGGAGCUAAUACCGGCUAAUAUAUUGAACCGCAUGGUUCAAUAGUGCAAGAGGGUUUUGGUGUCCCUUAUAGAUGGAUCCGCGCCGGAUUAGGGAGUUGGUAAGGUCACGGCUUACCAACGCGACGCUUCGUAGCCGAGCUGAGAGGGUGAUCGGCCACACUGGAACAGAGGCACGGUCCAGACUACUACGGGAGGAAGCAGUAGGGAAUAUUGGACAAUGGCCGAAAGCCUGACACAGCCAUACCGCGUGAGUGAAGAAGGCCUUCGGGUUGUAAAGCUCUUUUGUUGGGAAAGAACAGCAGCAAGUGAAUCAACAGAUGUAAUGACGGUACCCAAACAAUAAGCCCCGGCUAACUUCGUG